AACGUAGGACACAAGCGUUAUCCGGAGUUACUGGGCGUAAAGGGCGUGUAGGCGGAUCGGUAAGUCUACUCUGAAAGCUCCUGGCUAAACUGGGAGAGGCGAGUGGAGACUGUCGGUCUAGAGUGAGGAAGAGGAAAGUGGAAUUCCGCGUGUAGUGGUGAAAUGUGUAGAGAUGCGGAGGAACACCAGUGGCGAAAGCGGCUUUCUGGUCCUUAACUGACGCUGAGGCGCGAAAGCAUGGGGAGCGAACGGG
rnacentral:rRNA from 1 species